CCUGAGAAACGGCUACCACAUCCAAGGAAGGCAGCAGGCGCGCAAAUUACCCACUCUCGGCACGAGGAGGUAGUGACGAAAAAUAACGAUACGGGACUCAUCCGAGGCCCCGUAAUCGGAAUGAGUACACUUUAAAUCCUUUAACGAGGAUCAAUUGGAGGGCAAGUCUGGUGCCAGCAGCCGCGGUAAUUCCAGCUCUAAUAGCGUAUAUUAAAGUUGUUGCGGUUAAAAAGCUCGAUGUUGAAUUUGUGUCCCAUACUGUCGGUUCACCGCUCGCUGUUUAACUGGCAUGCUAUGGGACGUCCUAUCGGUGGGUUAGCCCGUAAAAAGGCAACCCAACUCAAAAUCUCAUCACGGUGCUCUUAAACGAGUGUCGAGGUGGGCCGAUACGUUUACUUUGAACAAAUUAGAGUGCUUAAAGCAGGCUAAUCUCGCCUGUAUAUUGUGUGCAUGGAAUAAUAGAAUAGGACCUCGUUUCUAUUUUGUUGGUUUUCGGAAUUCCGAGGUAAUGAUUAAUAGGGACAACUGGGGGCAUUCGUAUUGCGACGUUAGAGGUGAAAUUCUUGGACCGUCGCAAGACGGACAGAAGCGAAAGCAUUUGCCAAAUGUGUUUUCAUCAAUCAAGAACGAAAGUUAGAGGUUCGAAGGCGAUCAGAUACCGCCCUAGUUCUAACCAUAAACGAUGCCAGCUAGCGAUCCGCCAAAGUUCCUCCGAUGACUUGGCGGGCAGCUUCCGGGAAACCAAAGCUUUUGGGUUCCGGGGGAAGUAUGGUUGCAAAGUUGAAACUUAAAGGAAUUGACGGAAGGGCACCACCAGGAGUGGAGCCUGCGGCUUAAUUUGACUCAACACGGGAAACCUCACCAGGCCCGGACACUGGAAGGAUUGACAGAUUGAGAGCUCUUUCUUGAUUCAGUGGGUGGUGGUGCAUGGCCGUUCUUAGUUGGUGGAGCGAUUUGUCUGGUUAAUUCCGAUAACGAACGAGACUC
rnacentral:rRNA from 1 species